GCGGUGCGCCUUAUGCAUGCAAGUUGAGCGAAGCUUUUCAGUAGUUUACUACAGAAAAUGACUGAGCGGCGAACGGGUGAGUAACGCGUGAGCAAUCUACCUUAGUUACUGGGAUAGCCCGAGGAAACUCGGAUUAAUACCGGAUAAUCUUAUUACAUCACAUGAUAUUUUAAGUAAAGGUCAGCCGAACUAAGAUGAGCUCGCGUUCUAUCAGCUAGUUGGUGGGGUAAAAGCCUACCAAGGCUACGACGGAUAGCUGGUCUGAGAGGACGAUCAGCCACACUGGGACUGAGACACGGCCCAGACUCCUACGGGAGGCUGCAGCAGGGAAUAUUGCGCAAUGAGCGAAAGCUUGACGCAGCGACACCGCGUGUGGGAUGACGGUUCUAGGAUUGUAAACCACUUUCAGGAGGGAAGAAAAUGACGGUACCUCCAUAAGAAGCCCCGGCCAACUACGUGCCAGCAGCCGCGGUAAUACGUAGGGGGCGAGCGUUGUCCGGAUUUAUUGGGCGUAAAGAGCUCGUAGGCGGUUCAACAAGUCGGUCGUGAAAGUUCAGGGCUUAACCCUGAAAUGUCGAUCGAUACUGUUGUGACUAGGAUAUGGUAGAGGUGAGUGGAAUUCCGAGUGUAGCGGUGAAAUGCGUAGAUAUUCGGAGGAACACCAAUAGCGAAGGCAGCUCACUGGACCACUAUCGACGCUGAGGAGCGAAAGCUAGGGGAGCAAACAGGAUUAGAUACCCUGGUAGUCCUAGCUGUAAACGAUGGAUACUAGAUGUAGGAAUUGGAUUGACGAUUUCUGUAUCGUAGCUAACGCGUUAAGUAUCCCGCCUGGGGAG
rnacentral:rRNA from 1 species